rnacentral:lncRNA from 1 species
AUGAUGACUGGUUUUCCAAGUUCCUUCUUGAUGUGGCUGCUGCCAUUGAUGGCAAGCAACACUCUUUUGCCUUUUUACAAUUUCACCAAUGUAACGACAAAGUUUCAGCAUGCACUGACAACUAAGGGAGCACCAAGCCGAAAGUCACAUCACAUCACACCUGCUUCCACAGUCACUGUAAAUCCAAUUGAGGAAGAUAAUGGUUCUCAGUCAUCCCUGCAGAAAACUCAAACAAACCCUUUCCGCUCAAGCUUUGAGAGUAAAACCUCAACCCCCGGAGUACAAACCACUGUCAUGAGAACUACCGCAAUGAUUACAACUCAGGACUGCAAUAGUACCAAACUCACAGAAGCCUCCACAAUGCAAAGCAACGCAACUCAUUCUACAAGAGAUCGUUCGACCAAUGGAUCCAUACACACUCCGCAGGUCACUACCUUAAAUACAACAUCCACCGAUCCUGAGGAAAUUAAGUCUGAGAACACAAGACCCUUCACAGGAGAGGGUGUGACACCAGAGUUGACAAGCCCAUACCAACAUUUAGUUAUCACCCAAGUAGUUGACAUUACAAAGAUAAAACAACCAUCACAAAAUGGAAACAAACCACAUGAGAAAAGGAAUCACAGUAAAGUAAUAGCAGGGAUAAUAUGUGGAACCUUGGCACUGAUGGUGGCAGGGUUUGUGCUUAUUUACAUAAAAAAACGAAAGAUAAAAAAGCAGCAGCUAACAACCAAUGAUUGGGCCGGUCCGUCACCAUUUUUGAACAGCGGGGCACACAAUGGUCAAAUAGCCCUGCAGACUUCUAACAGGAUAUCUCUUGCCAGCUUUCUACCUCAGAGACUCUCGAAGAGACUCUCCUUACUUCCAGAAGCACACGAAGACAUGGUAAACAUCAACCUUGGUUCUACAUUUGGUCAAGUGGUGGAUGGGGAUAAGCUCCAAGAAACAAAUGCGGCCGCUAACAACAUUGUUGAACUAAAACCAUCAGGACACAUUAUUGACACCUCAGCUUCUCUGCAAACAAACAGUAAGUCAGAGAUCCAAACCAACCAAUCCUUAAUCCAAUCAGAAAAUCAGCCCCAGUAA